GAUAACAGGCUUAUCGCCUCCAAGAGUCCAUAUCGACGAGGCGGUUUGGCACCUCGAUGUCGGCUCACCGCAUCCUGGGGCUGAAGCAGGUCCCAAGGGUUGGUCUGUUCGCCCAUUAAAGCGGUACGCGAGCUGGGUUUAGAACGUCGUGAGACAGUUCGGUCCCUAUCCUUCGUGGGUGUUGGAAAUUUGAGGAGAUCUGCUCCUAGUACGAGAGGACCGGAGUGGACGAACCUCUGGUUUUCCGGUUGUGAUGCCAAUUGCAUCGCCGGGUAGCUAUGUUCGGAAAGGAUAACCGCUGAAAGCAUCUAAGCGGGAAGCCAACUCCAAAACUAGAUUUCCCUUCCUCCUUCGGGAGGACCGUAGACCCCUUGUAGACUACAAGGUUGAUAGGCCAGAUGUGUAAGCACAGCAAUGUGUUCAGCUAACUGGUACUAAUUGGUCGCGAGGCUUGAUCUU
rnacentral:rRNA from 1 species